rnacentral:rRNA from 1 species
CACGAACGCUGGCGGCGUGCUUAACACAUGCAAGUCGAGCGGAAAGGCCCUUCGGGGUACUCGAGCGGCGAACGGGUGAGUAACACGUGAGUAACCUGCCCUGGACUUUGGGAUAACCCUCGGAAACGGGGGCUAAUACCGAAUAUCCACGGUCUACCGCAUGGUGGGUUGUGGAAAGUUUUUCGGUCUGGGAUGGGCUCGCGGCCUAUCAGCUUGUUGGUGGGGUGAUGGCCUACCAAGGCGACGACGGGUAGCCGGCCUGAGAGGGCGACCGGCCACACUGGGACUGAGACACGCCCCAGACUCCUACGGGAGGCAGCAGUGGGGAAUAUUGCACAAUGGGCGCAAGCCUGAUGCAGCAACGCCGCGUGAGGGAUGACGGCCUUCGGGUUGUAAACCUCUUUUAGUAAGGAAGAAGGGCCUUCGGGCUUGACGGUACUUGCAGAAAAAGCACCGGCUAACUACGUGCCAGCAGCCGCGGUAAUACGUAGGGUGCGAGCGUUGUCCGGAAUUAUUGGGCGUAAAGAGCUCGUAGGCGGUUUGUCACGUCUGCUGUGAAAUCCCGAGGCUCAACCUCGGGCCUGCAGUGGGUACGGGCAGACUGGAGUGCGGUAGGGGAGAAUGGAAUUCCUGGUGUAGCGGUGAAAUGCGCAGAUAUCAGGAGGAACACCGGUGGCGAAGGCGGGUCUCUGGGCCGAUACUGACGCUGAGGAGCGAAAGCGUGGGGAGCGAACAGGAUUAGAUACCCUGGUAGUCCACGCCGUAAACGUUGGGCGCUAGGUGUGGGAUCCCUUCCACGGGUUCCGUGCCGCAGCUAACGCAUUAAGCGCCCCGCCUGGGGAGUACGGCCGCAAGGCUAAAACUCAAAGGAAUUGACGGGGGCCCGCACAAGCGGCGGAGCAUGUGGAUUAAUUCGAUGCAACGCGAAGAACCUUACCUGGGUUUGACAUACACCGGAAAGCCGUGGAGACAUGGCCUCCGCAAGGCCGGUGUACAGGUGGUGCAUGGCUGUCGUCAGCUCGUGUCGUGAGAUGUUGGGUUAAGUCCCGCAACGAGCGCAACCCUUGUCCCAUGUUGCCAGCGGGUUAUGCCGGGGACUCAUGGGAA